rnacentral:rRNA from 1 species
AAGACCUUGCGCUUUUGGAGCGGCCGAUGCCUGAUUAGCUAGUUGGUGGGGUAAUGGCCUACCAAAGCUUCGAUCAGUAGCUGGUCUGAGAGGACGGCCAGCCGCACUGGGACUGAGACACGGCCCAGACUCCUACGGGAGGCAGCAGUGGGGAAUUUUGGACAAUGGGCGCAAGCCUGAUCCAGCCAUGCCGCGUGAGUGAAGAAGGCCUUCGGGUUGUAAAGCUCUUUCAGCCGGGAAGAAAAGGUUGCGAUUAAUAAUCGCAAUUUAUGACGGUACCGGAAGAAGAAGCACCGGCUAACUACGUGCCAGCAGCCGCGGUAAUACGUAGGGUGCGAGCGUUAAUCGGAAUUACUGGGCGUAAAGGGUGCGCAGGCGGUUUUGUAAGUCAGAUGUGAAAUCCCCGGGCUUAACCUGGGAACU